CACCCGAGAGUGAUGGUGUAUGCUGAAAGAACGGGGGCGGAGCUUACAGACAUGCGGGUGGGUCUCAAUUUAUUAUUCAUCUUUGUCACUUCCUCUGUGCAGAGUGCUGACGUAGUUCUGGAUCAGAAGGACAGCAGCCUGUACGUCGGGAGAGUGAGAGAUACUCGCCAAAUACCUGAGAAGCCACGCCCAUCACCACCUCAUUAAUAAACUCCCAGGUGAGCUGUGUUUACCUCUCGCUCUCGUCCCACGUGUCCUCUGGGAUUGUGGGCAGCUCGGGGAUGCUGCGGUAGAUGCUGUGUAGGUUCUGUGCCGUCCUACGCGAGACGAUCCACACCAGUUUCUUGUGGUCAGGUUUGGCACAUUCUGGAGAGGAGUAUUCCCUCAUACACUGGCCUACCAGGCCUCGCCAGUGCACCAGGUCAGCCUUCGAGAUCUGCAAACAGACACUGCUGCAUUAGACUCCUGCUUACACAAGGACAGGGCACAGAGCCAGCUACCUUUCGAUUGGGACCAACAUGUGUAAACCAAUGGCCUGUUGGCGACAGAACUGGGUUAAGUGCUCUGGAUUUAUCCUACACCACAGAUGUUUAAGUGCGGCUGAAACUAAAGGUAUAUUUUUGAUUUGUUUUGGUGAAAAAUUUUCUGAUUAAACUAAACUAGUUCUGCUUGACUUUGAACCAAACAGAGCAGUCUGUGACAUUCAACUGGAUUUCUUCACUUUUAAAAGGUUUUUAUUGAUGUUCAGGGCGUGUAAAAAUGUCGAUCUCCUCAUAAAUUCUUACCUUCAGGUGUGUUUGUAUGCGCUGGGCGAUUUCUAGCAGGUCCACAGACUGUAAGGCCUCAAUCUCAAGCAUCAAGAGUGACAAAGCGAGCACCGAAGGCUUAAAAAAAAAAAGAGAGAGAGAGAGAUGAUUAAUCAUAAUUCAAAUUUCCAUUUACCUUGCUUCAUGAAUCUAAGGUGUUCUUACUUUUGCUUUGGAGAAAACAAUUCUGCAUAGGCAGGCUUUCAGCUGGGCUUCCAGUUUGUCAAGAUUGAGGACGUCUUUUCUGAAAAGAUGAUGAUUUAAUGCAUUAGUGAGAUUUUAAUAGCCAAACUGUUUGUCAUUGAACAAGCGAUUGCGUCUAGUCUAAAGAUAAUCUGCUAUUUUCUGACUGCCAUCACUCCCAUAUACAGCAGAAUGCUCAAAGUCCACUUGCAAGCUCUGUUUAUCAACCUUUACAAGUCAAAGUUUCACAUGCCAAGCCUGCAUGUUAAAGUCUGUGGCUCUGAAGUGUGUUAAUGCCACUUGUUCUUACCUGUUCGACGUGUGCGAAAGUGCAAUGGCGUGGUACAAAUGCAGGAAGGUUAAGGCUGUGACAGCUUUUAACUGGAAGUUGAGUUUCUCCAGAAUGAUCUUCUCCAUUCGGCUGAGGUCUGAGACGGUGAACUUGCACUGGCUGAUGCGAAUCAGCUCAUGGCUGGACGAAACCUUGCACUCUUCUUUGGUCACUCGGGCGGCGAUGUGAAGGCAACUGAUGCUGAUGCAGGCCAGAUACCUGGGCUGAACCUUUAGGAACACACAAGUGAUCAGUUAUAACAUGUUCUAACACCUGUUAAUCAGAUGAAUUGACUUAUAACUAAUUGAUUACCUUCAUCAUCGCUAUAAACCUGUCCAGAAGGUUAACAGCUAAUACAAAGGUCUGAGUGCUGUAACCGAAGAAACUGGUCAAGCUCCAGAGAUCUUCCACUCGAGCAUCUCGACAUUUGGCGGAAACUCCAUUACCAUUCUGUGUGGAUGAGGAGAAAUAAGUUACAUUUAACGUUUAAAACUGAGACACAUUUUGCCUUCUAGUCCCAAAUAUUGUUUUGUACAUUGUAAAAAGUAUUUUUUUUACAGUAUAGAAAUACAGUGCAACAUUCCAGAACUGUUGAAAAUGUUAUCAAAUAAAGUUUGUAUAUGUAUUUUCA